UACGUAGGGUGCAAGCGUUGUCCGGAAUUAUUGGGCGUAAAGAGCUCGUAGGCGGUUUGUCGCGUCUGCUGUGAAAACCCGAGGCUCAACCUCGGGCCUGCAGUGGGUACGGGCAGACUAGAGUGUGGUAGGGGAGACUGGAAUUCCUGGUGUAGCGGUGAAAUGCGCAGAUAUCAGGAGGAACACCGAUGGCGAAGGCAGGUCUCUGGGCGAUUAACUGACGC
rnacentral:rRNA from 1 species